UUAAGCGACUAAGCGUACACGGUGGAUGCCUAGGCAGUCAGAGGCGAUGAAGGGCGUGCUAAUCUGCGAUAAGCGUCGGUAAGCUGAUAUGAAGCGUUACAACCGACGAUACCCGAAUGGGGAAACCCAGUGCAAUUCGUUGCACUAUUGCAUGGUGAAUACAUAGCCAUGCAAGGCGAACCGGGGGAACUGAAACAUCUAAGUACCCCGAGGAAAAGAAAUCAACCGAGAUUCCCCCAGUAGCGGCGAGCGAACGGGGAAGAGCCCAGAGUCUGAAUCAGUUUGUGUGUUAGUGGAAGCGUCUGGAAAGUCGCACGGUACAGGGUGAUAGUCCCGUACACAAAAACACACCUUCUGUGAACUCGAUGAGUAGGGCGGGACACGUGACAUCCUGUCUGAAUAUGGGGGGACCAUCCUCCAAGGCUAAAUACUCCUGACUGACCGAUAGUGAACCAGUACCGUGAGGGAAAGGCGAAAAGAACCCCGGCGAGGGGAGUGAAAUAGAACCUGAAACCGUGUACGUACAAGCAGUGGGAGCACCUUCGUGGUGUGACUGCGUACCUUUUGUAUAAUGGGUCAGCGACUUAUAUUUUGUAGCAAGGUUAACCGAAUAGGGGAGCCGUAGGGAAACCGAGUCUUAACUGGGCGUCUAGUUGCAAGGUAUAGACCCGAAACCCGGUGAUCUAGCCAUGGGCAGGUUGAAGGUUGGGUAACACUAACUGGAGGACCGAACCGACUAAUGUUGAAAAAUUAGCGGAUGACUUGUGGCUGGGGGUGAAAGGCCAAUCAAACCGGGAGAUAGCUGGUUCUCCCCGAAAGCUAUUUAGGUAGCGCCUCGUGAACUCAUCUUCGGGGGUAGAGCACUGUUUCGGCUAGGGGGUCAUCCCGACUUACCAAACCGAUGCAAACUCCGAAUACCGAAGAAUGUUAUCACGGGAGACACACGGCGGGUGCUAACGUCCGUCGUGAAGAGGGAAACAACCCAGACCGCCAGCUAAGGUCCCAAAGUCAUGGUUAAGUGGGAAACGAUGUGGGAAGGCAUAGACAGCCAGGAUGUUGGCUUAGAAGCAGCCAUCAUUUAAAGAAAGCGUAAUAGCUCACUGGUCGAGUCGGCCUGCGCGGAAGAUGUAACGGGGCUAAACCAUGCACCGAAGCUGCGGCAGCGACGCUUAGGCGUUGUUGGGUAGGGGAGCGUUCUGUAAGCCGUUGAAGGUGGCCUGUGAGGGCUGCUGGAGGUAUCAGAAGUGCGAAUGCUGACAUAAGUAACGAUAAUGCGGGUGAAAAACCCGCACGCCGGAAGACCAAGGGUUCCUGUCCAACGUUAAUCGGGGCAGGGUGAGUCGACCCCUAAGGCGAGGCUGAAAAGCGUAGUCGAUGGGAAACAGGUUAAUAUUCCUGUACUUGGUGUUACUGCGAAGGGGGGACGGAGAAGGCUAGGCUAGCCGGGCGACGGUUGUCCCGGUUUAAGCAUGUAGGCGGAGCGACUUGGUAAAUCCGGUUGCUUAUCAACGCUGAGGUGUGAUGACGAUGCACUACGGUGCAGAAGUAGUUGAUGCCAAGCUUCCAGGAAAAGCCUCUAAGCAUCAGGUAACAUUGAAUCGUACCCCAAACCGACACAGGUGGUCAGGUAGAGAAUACUCAGGCGCUUGAGAGAACUCGGGUGAAGGAACUAGGCAAAAUGGUGCCGUAACUUCGGGAGAAGGCACGCUGGCAUUAGGUAAAGAGACUUGCUCUCGGCGCCGAAGCCAGUCGCAGAUACCAGCUGGCUGCAACUGUUUAAUAAAAACACAGCACUGUGCAAACACGAAAGUGGACGUAUACGGUGUGACGCCUGCCCGGUGCUGGAAGGUUAAUUGAUGGGGUCAGCCGCAAGGCGAAGCUCUUGAUCGAAGCCCCAGUAAACGGCGGCCGUAACUAUAACGGUCCUAAGGUAGCGAAAUUCCUUGUCGGGUAAGUUCCGACCUGCACGAAUGGCGUAAUGAUGGCCAGGCUGUCUCCACCCGAGACUCAGUGAAAUUGAACUCGCUGUGAAGAUGCAGUGUACCCGCGGCAAGACGGAAAGACCCCGUGAACCUUUACUAUAGCUUGACACUGAACAUUGAGCCUUGAUGUGUAGGAUAGGUGGGAGGCAUUGAAGUGUGGACGCCAGUCUGCAUGGAGCCAACCUUGAAAUACCACCCUUUAAUGUUUGAUGUUCUAACUCGGCCCCGUGAUCCGGGGUGAGGACAGUGUCUGGUGGGUAGUUUGACUGGGGCGGUCUCCUCCCAAAGAGUAACGGAGGAGCACGAAGGUUAGCUAAUCACGGUCGGACAUCGUGAGGUUAGUGCAAAGGCAUAAGCUAGCUUGACUGCGAGAGUGACGGCUCGAGCAGGUACGAAAGUAGGUCUUAGUGAUCCGGUGGUUCUGAAUGGAAGGGCCAUCGCUCAACGGAUAAAAGGUACUCCGGGGAUAACAGGCUGAUACCGCCCAAGAGUUCAUAUCGACGGCGGUGUUUGGCACCUCGAUGUCGGCUCAUCACAUCCUGGGGCUGAAGUAGGUCCCAAGGGUAUGGCUGUUCGCCAUUUAAAGUGGUACGCGAGCUGGGUUUAGAACGUCGUGAGACAGUUCGGUCCCUAUCUGCCGUGGGCGUUGGAAGAUUGAGAGGGGCUGCUCCUAGUACGAGAGGACCGGAGUGGACGAAUCACUGGUGUUCGGGUUGUCAUGCCAAUGGCAUUGCCCGGUAGCUAAAUUCGGAAGAGAUAACCGCUGAAAGCAUCUAAGCGGGAAACUUGCCUCGAGAUGAGUCUUCCCUGGGGCUUUAAGCCCCCUGAAGGAACGUUAAAGACUAUGACGUUGAUAGGCUGGGUGUGUAAGUGCAGCGAUGCAUUGAGCUAACCAGUACUAAUGAUCCGUGAGGCUUAACCUU
rnacentral:rRNA from 1 species